rnacentral:rRNA from 1 species
UACAGAGGUCUCAAGCGUUGUUCGGAUUCAUUGGGCGUAAAGGGUGCGUAGGUGGCGCCGUAAGUCAGGUGUGAAAUUUCGGAGCUUAACUUCGAAACUGCAUUUGAUACUGCGGUGCUUGAGGACUGGAGAGGAGACUGGAAUUUACGGUGUAGCGGUGAAAUGCGUAGAUAUCGUAAGGAAGACCAGUGGCGAAGGCGGGUCUCUGGACAGUUCCUGACGCUGAGGCACGAAGGUCAGGGGAGCAAACGGG